GCCAAGUGACUGAUCCUCUCCAUUGUAAAAUGAAAGUAAAAUUACCACAGCUUGGUAUAUAAUUGAUGGUGCAUCCAAAGCUGCGCAUUGAUUGCUCUUUUCCUUUGAGGCAUUCUACCUCCAGGGAUGGGAGAAGACGAACUUUUAAUAUGCUUUUCUCUGACAUGGGCUCUGGAAGGAUGUACAAUUCAUGGUCCAGAUCUAUGACCUCCAGCCAGGACUCAACACUCCUAAAGGCACCCAGACAACCCCUCAUUCUCCUACAGAGCAGUGGGAAUAUCACCAGGUAUCUGAGGUUCGCACAGCGAGUGUGUGAUGGAACCAUGUCUGACUCCAAACCCCUUGGGCUGCAUUGACGAGGCCACGUGUGUGGCCAUCCCUGUCCUUCCUCUUGGAGUACAGUUCCAGGAAGUGGAUGCGUCACUGCCUGCUGAAUCACUCCUGACACGGAUCUGGCUGUGAGCAACACGUGCUUCCAGCUCUGCAGCUCCCUGGGUCUCGUCUCCCCACCAGCUCAGGGGGUAGCUGAGGAAGUUCAUGGGCCUUGCCAACCAGGAUUGCUCAAGAGGGCCCAGCAAGGACCACAGGGGCUGCUCCAUGCCAGGCUCCGCAGAACCUCUGCGGUGGGAAUGGGUGGGGUGGGGAGGUGAGGGGCUGCCUACACCCGAGCACUUGCAGAGGGAGGAGGAAAACCAACAGAACCACUCUCUGGCCAAACCACAAUCCAUGCAGAUCUUUGAAGGAGAAGUUAAACGAUGAGAAUCGCUCAACCCAGAAAGAUGGUGAUUUAUAUGGCCCAAAGACUAAAAAGAAGAAAAAAAAAAAAAAAAAAAAAGCAAAAGGAAUUGAGAUACAACCACAAACACAGGCUGUACCACCAAAUGGCACAGUUUUGAGACUAGAGGGAAACCAUUCAGACCUCCAGCACUUAAAGACAAGAUAAGGAAAUGUCAAAUUAUGAAGUGGGUAUGAAAGAGACAAUGAAUCUAUUGCUUAUUAAAUGACAGAGUUAAAAUAUAUUCCUUGUUAUUUAUACCCUGCCUGUUUCCAAAGUAAGGAUUUGAAACUGCAGCUCAAAAUGAAACUGCUUUGGGAAAAACAAAAUGAAGUACUUAUUUCCAGACCACCCUGAAGUGUGAGAGGCAUUUUAAUCCUUGUAGGUCCCCCAGCAUGCAGGGCCCAACAUCCAUAGAUGCCAUGAAGCUAAAUAAAGUUUGGCAAAUUC